CUUCAUAGUACUCAUAUGCCCUCAACAUGAGGCAGAAGUCUGUGGGUUGCUGCUAUCUACCAGUUCUGUCCUGCCUGUGUGAAUGAAGAUUUCUCCCCAUUCUUCUCAGAGCAGCAUCUGGCUUCUACCAGUGAGGAAUCAUCGACACUUGUGACAAAACUCGAUGGACUAGGGAGCUGGUCUCUUGGCUGAGUGAUAUCUACUCAACCUACAGCAGAAGGAAGAAGAUACUUGCUCUGCUGGUUUAUGUGGAGAACUUUCGUGAAUGGCAGAGAGACAGAGAGCACCACACCACCCAGCUCUUCAUCCUGGGGCUGAGACACGAGAAAACUAUGUGACUGGAUUGAUGUCACCUGCCUUUUCAACUUUGCUGUAUGCAAGGUGAAAGUAGAAGUUAACAGGAUCUGUGAGGAGCCAGUGGUGCAGGGCUUUGGGGAAGCUGAGGUUUCCAGCAUCAUCUGUGUAAUUUCUCUCCUGCCUGAGACAUUGUUGAAUUUCUUGGCUAUACAUCAGCUGUCUGAUUAUAGGCUUUGGAAAGACUGGGUUUCUAGGACUGGUAUUUCCCAGGACCAUGCUGCAGGCUGCAUUAAGGAGGGCCUCUUACCAAGAGUGAGGCAGCUGCCUAAACAAGUUCCACCAUUCUCUACAGCAUCAUGAGUGAG